rnacentral:rRNA from 1 species
UAAACUAGGAUUAGAUACCCUAUUAUUUUGGAAUGUUAAUUGUUUUGCUUGAGUAGUAUUAGUUAUGUUCUUGAAACUUAAAGAAUUUGGCGGUAUCUCAUUCCUUCCAGAGGAAUCUGUCUCGUUAUCGAUAGUCCGCGUUGGACCUUACUUAGAAUUGUAUUGGUUUGUAUACCGCCGUUUAUUGAUUAUCUUUUUAGAGUGUUUAAUUUUCUGGUUUCUUUAUUUUGAUUUAUUUCAGGUCAAGGUGCAGCUUAUUUUUAAGUGAAUGAUGGAUUACAUUUUUAUUUGUUUUUGGAUUGUUGAUUUUAAUAUUAAUAUGAAAUUGGAUUUGGUUGUAAUUGUUUGUAGAUUGUUAUUGUGAUAUUGGUUCUGGGAUAUGCACACAUCGCCCGUCGCUCUCGUUUAUUUAAUGAGAUAAGUCGUAACAUAGUA